rnacentral:rRNA from 1 species
CGCGGAAGAUGUAACGGGGCUAAACCAUGCACCGAAGCUGCGGCAGCGACGUUUAUGCGUUGUUGGGUAGGGGAGCGUUCUGUAAGCCUGCGAAGGUGGCCUGUGAGGGUUGCUGGAGGUAUCAGAAGUGCGAAUGCUGACAUAAGUAACGAUAAAGCGGGUGAAAAGCCCGCUCGCCGGAAGACCAAGGGUUCCUGUCCAACGUUAAUCGGGGCAGGGUGAGUCGACCCCUAAGGCGAGGCCGAAAGGCGUAGUCGAUGGGAAACGGGUUAAUAUUCCCGUACUUGGUGUUACUGCGAAGGGGGGACGGAGAAGGCUAUGUUGGCCGGGCGACGGUUGUCCCGGUUUAAGCGUGUAGGUGUGUGUUCCAGGUAAAUCCGGUUCACUUUAACACUGAGGCGUGAUGACGAGGCACUACGGUGCUGAAGCAACAAAUGCCCUGCUUCCAGGAAAAGCCUCUAAGCAUCAGGUAACACGAAAUCGUACCCCAAACCGACACAGGUGGUCAGGUAGAGAAUACCAAGGCGCUUGAGAGAACUCGGGUGAAGGAACUAGGCAAAAUGGUGCCGUAACUUCGGGAGAAGGCACGCUGACACGUAGGUGAAGUGAUUUACUCAUGGAGCUGAAGUCAGUCGAAGAUACCAGCUGGCUGCAACUGUUUAUUAAAAACACAGCACUGUGCAAACACGAAAGUGGACGUAUACGGUGUGACGCCUGCCCGGUGCCGGAAGGUUAAUUGAUGGGGUCAGCGCAAGCGAAGCUCCUGAUCGAAGCCCCGGUAAACGGCGGCCGUAACUAUAACGGUCCUAAGGUAGCGAAAUUCCUUGUCGGGUAAGUUCCGACCUGCACGAAUGGCGUAAUGAUGGCCAGGCUGUCUCCACCCGAGACUCAGUGAAAUUGAACUCGCUGUGAAGAUGCAGUGUACCCGCGGCAAGACGGAAAGACCCCGUGAACCUUUACUAUAGCUUGACACUGAACAUUGAGCCUUGAUGUGUAGGAUAGGUGGGAGGCUUUGAAGUGUGGACGCCAGUCUGCAUGGAGCCGACCUUGAAAUACCACCCUUUAAUGUUUGAUGUUCUAACGUGGACCCGUUACCCGGGUUGCGGACAGUGUCUGGUGGGUAGUUUGACUGGGGCGGUCUCCUCCUAAAGAGUAACGGAGGAGCACGAAGGUUGGCUAAUCCUGGUCGGACAUCAGGAGGUUAGUGCAAUGGCAUAAGCCAGCUUGACUGCGAGCGUGACGGCGCGAGCAGGUGCGAAAGCAGGUCAUAGUGAUCCGGUGGUUCUGAAUGGAAGGGCCAUCGCUCAACGGAUAAAAGGUACUCCGGGGAUAACAGGCUGAUACCGCCCAAGAGUUCAUAUCGACGGCGGUGUUUGGCACCUCGAUGUCGGCUCAUCACAUCCUGGGGCUGAAGUAGGUCCCAAGGGUAUGGCUGUUCGCCAUUUAAAGUGGUACGCGAGCUGGGUUUAGAACGUCGUGAGACAGUUCGGUCCCUAUCUGCCGUGGGCGCUGGAGAACUGAGGGGGGCUGCUCCUAGUACGAGAGGACCGGAGUGGACGCAUCACUGGUGUUCGGGUUGUCAUGCCAAUGGCACUGCCCGGUAGCUAAAUGCGGAAGAGAUAAGUGCUGAAAGCAUCUAAGCACGAAACUUGCCCCGAGAUGAGUUCUCCCUGAGACUUAGAGUCUCCUGAAGGAACGUUGAAGACGACGACGUUGAUAGGCCGGGUGUGUAAGCGCAGCGAUGCGUUGAGCUAACCGGUACUAAUGAACCGUGAGGCUUAACCUUACAACGCCGAAG